rnacentral:rRNA from 1 species
UGGGGAAUUUUCCGCAAUGGGCGCAAGCCUGACGGAGUGACGCCGCGUGGGGGACGAAGGCCUUCGGGUCGUAAACCCCUGUCAGAAGGAAAGAGGGUCGGUGCGGUGCACAGCCGCAUCGAUUGACGGUACCUUCAGAGGAAGCCCCGGCCAACUCUGUGCCAGCAGCCGCGGUAAGACAGAGGGGGCAAGCGUUGCUCGGAAUCACUGGGCGUAAAGGGCGCGUAGGCGGGGGGCCAAGUCGGUCGUGAAAUCUCCCGGCUCAACCGGGAGGGGUCGGCCGAAACUGGUUUUCUUGAGGGGCGCAGAGGAGCCUGGAAUUCCCGGUGUAGCGGUGAAAUGUGUAGAGAUCGGGAGGAACACCGGUGGCGAAGGCGGGGCUCUGGGCGCACCCUGACGCUGAGGCGCGAAGGCGUGGGGAGCAAACGGG